AGAGUGAACGCUGGCGGUAGGCCUAACACAUGCAAGUCGAACGGCAGCACGGUAAGAGCUUGCUCUUAUGGGUGGCGAGUGGCGGACGGGUGAGGAAUACAUCGGAAUCUACCUUUUGGUGGGGGAUAACGUAGGGAAACUUACGCUAAUACCGCAUACGCCCUUCGGGGGAAAGCCGGGGACCAGCAAUGGCCUGGCGCUGAUAGAUGAGCCGAUGUCGGAUUAGCUAGUUGGUGAGGUAAUGGCUCACCAAGGCGACGAUCCGUAGCUGGUCUGAGAGGAUGAUCAGCCACACUGGAACUGAGACACGGUCCAGACUCCUACGGGAGGCAGCAGUGGGGAAUAUUGGACAAGUGGGCGAAAGCCUGAUCCAGCCAUGCCGCGUGUGUGAAGAAGGUCUUCGGAUUUGAAAAGCACUUUAAGUGGAGGAAGGUUGUAACUUAAUACGUUGCUAACUUUGAGUUACCGACAAGAAAUAAGCACCGGACUAACGUUCGUGA
rnacentral:rRNA from 1 species